CCUGGUUUGGCUCAGUGGAUAGAGCGUCAGCCUGCAGACUGAAGGGCCCAGGUUCGAUUCCAGGUCAGGG
rnacentral:tRNA from 1 species